rnacentral:rRNA from 1 species
UACGGAGGGGGCAAGCGUUAUCCGGAUUUACUGGGUUUAAAGGGUGCGUAGGUGGUUAAUUAAGUCAGGGGUGAAAUCUUCAGGCUUAACCUGGAAACUGCCAUUGAUACUAUUUGUCUUGAAUACUUUGGAGGUAAGCGGAAUAUGUCAUGUAGCGGUGAAAUGCUUAGAUAUGACAUAGAACACCAAUUGCGAAGGCAGCUUACUAGACAGUAAUUGACACUGAGGCACGAAAGCGUGGGGAUCAAACAGG